rnacentral:rRNA from 1 species
UACGGAGGGUGCGAGCGUUGUCCGGAAUCACUGGGCGUAAAGGGCGCGUAGGCGGCUCGGCAAGUAGGGGGUGAAAUCCUGCGGCUUAACCGCAGGGCUGCCUUCUAAACUGUCGAGCUCGAGCACGGUAGAGGCAGAUGGAAUUCCCGGUGUAGCGGUGGAAUGCGUAGAGAUCGGGAAGAACAUCAGUGGCGAAGGCGGUCUGCUGGGCCGUUGCUGACGCUGAGGCGCGACAGCGUGGGGAGCAAACAGG